rnacentral:rRNA from 1 species
UACGUAGGGAGCAAGCGUUGUCCGGAAUCAUUGGGCGUAAAGCGCGCGUAGGUGGCUUCGUAAGUCCGUUGUGAAAGUCAAAGGCUCAACCUUUGAAUGCCGAUGGAUACUGCGGAGCUAGAGUACGGAAGAGGCGAGUGGAAUUCCUGGUGUAGCGGUGGAAUGCGCAGAUAUCAGGAGGAACACCAAUAGCGAAGGCAGCUCGCUGGGACGUUACUGACGCUGAGGAGCGAAAGCGUGGGGAGCGAACAGG